UGGCGAACGGGUGAGUAACACGUGAGUAACCUGCCCUUAACUCUGGGAUAAGCCUGGGAAACUGGGUCUAAUACCGGAUAUGACUCCUCAUCGCAUGGUGGGGGGUGGAAAGCUUUUUGUGGUUUUGGAUGGACUCGCGGCCUAUCAGCUUGUUGGUGAGGUAAUGGCUUACCAAGGCGACGACGGGUAGCCGGCCUGAGAGGGUGACCGGCCACACUGGGACUGAGACACGGCCCAGACUCCUACGGGAGGCAGCAGUGGGGAAUAUUGCACAAUGGGCGCAAGCCUGAUGCAGCGACGCCGCGUGAGGGAUGACGGCCUUCGGGUUGUAAACCUCUUUCAGUAGGGAAGAAGCGAAAGUGACGGUACCUGCAGAAGAAGCGCCGGCUAACUACGUGCCAGCAGCCGCGGUAAUACGUAGGGCGCAAGCGUUAUCCGGAAUUAUUGGGCGUAAAGAGCUCGUAGGCGGUUUGUCGCGUCUGCCGUGAAAGUCCGGGGCUCAACUCCGGAUCUGCGGUGGGUACGGGCAGACUAGAGUGAUGUAGGGGAGACUGGAAUUCCUGGUGUAGCGGUGAAAUGCGCAGAUAUCAGGAGGAACACCGAUGGCGAAGGCAGGUCUCUGGGCAUUAACUGACGCUGAGGAGCGAAAGCAUGGGGAGCGAACAGGAUUAGAUACCCUGGUAGUCCAUGCCGUAAACGUUGGGCACUAGGUGUGGGGGACAUUCCACGUUUUCCGCGCCGUAGCUAACGCAUUAAGUGCCCCGCCUGGGGARUACGGCCGCAAGGCUAAAACUCAAAGGAAUUGACGGGGGCCCCGCACAAGCGGCGGAACCAUGCGGAUUAAUUCGAUGCAACGCGAAGAACCUUACCAAGGCUUGACMUGAACCGGUAAUACCUGGAGACAGGUGCCCCGCUUGCGGUCGGUUUACAGGUGGUGCAUGGUUGUCGUCAGCUCGUGUCGUGAGAUGUUGGGUUAAGUCCCGCAACGAGCGCAACCCUCGUUCUAUGUUGCCAGCACGUGAUGGUGGGGACUCAUAGGAGACUGCCGGGGUCAACUCGGAGGAAGGUGGGGACGACGUCAAAUCAUCAUGCCCCUUAUGUCUUGGGCUUCACGCAUGCUACAAUGGCCGGUACAAAGGGUUGCGAUACUGUGAGGUGGAGCUAAUCCCAAAAAGCCGGUCUCAGUUCGGAUUGGGGUCUGCAACUCGACCCCAUGAAGUNGGAGUCGCUAGUAAUCGCAGAUCAGCAACGCUGCGGUGAAUACGUUCCCGGGCCUUGUACACACCGCCCGUCAAGUCACGAAAGUUGGUAACACCCGAAGCCCGGUGGCCUAACCCCUUGUG
rnacentral:rRNA from 1 species